AGGUGUAACGUCACGCAUCARACCUCUGAUCAGGGAAGACUACCCGCUGA
rnacentral:rRNA from 1 species